rnacentral:rRNA from 1 species
GAUGAACGCUGGCGGCGUGCCUAAUACAUGCAAGUCGAGCGAACGGACGAGAAGCUUGCUUCUCUGAUGUUAGCGGCGGACGGGUGAGUAACACGUGGAUAACCUACCUAUAAGACUGGGAUAACUUCGGGAAACCGUAGCUAAUACCGGAUAAUAUUUUGAACCGCAUGGUUCAAAAGUGAAAGACGGUCUUGCUGUCACUUAUAGAUGGAUCCGCGCUGCAUUAGCUAGUUGGUAAGGUAACGGCUUACCAAGGCAACGAUGCAUAGCCGACCUGAGAGGGUGAUCGGCCACACUGGAACUGAGACACGGUCCAGACUCCUACGGGAGGCAGCAGUAGGGAAUCUUCCGAGAUGGGCGAAAGCCUGACGGAGCAACGCCGCGUGAGUGAUGAAGGUCUUCGGAUCGUAAAACUCUGUUAUUAGGGAAGAACAUAUGUGUAAGUAACUGUGCACAUCUUGACGGUACCUAAUCAGAAAGCCACGGCUAACUACGUG